rnacentral:rRNA from 1 species
CCCUUAGAUGUUCUGGGCCGCACGCGUGCUACACUGAUGCAUUCAACGAGUCUAAAACCUGGUCUGAUAGGGCUGGGUAAUCUUUUGAAAGUGCAUCGUGAUUGGGAUAGAUGAUUGCAAUUCUUCAUCUUCAACGAGGAAUGCCUAGUAAACGCAAGUCAUCAGCUUGUAUUGAUUACGUCCCUGCCCUUUGUACACACCGCCCGUCGCUCCUACCGAUUGAAUGAUCCGAUGAAUACCAUGGAUUGAGAGUACGAAUAGGUUCGCUUAUUUCUGCUGCUCGAGAAGUGGAGUAAAUCUUAUCAUUUAGAGGAAGGAGAAGUCGUAACA